rnacentral:rRNA from 1 species
CCUACGGGUGGCAGCAGUGAGGAAUAUUGGUCAAUGGACGCAAGUCUGAACCAGCCAUGCCGCGUGCAGGAAGACGGCUCUAUGAGUUGUAAACUGCUUUUGUACGAGGGUAAACGCAGAUACGCGUAUCUGUCUGAAAGUAUCGUAAGAAUAAGGAUCGGCUAACUCCGUGCCAGCAGCCGCGGUAAUACGUAGGAUUCAAGCGUUAUCCGGAUUUAUUGGGUUGAAAGGGUGCGUAGGCGGUCGGUUAAGUUAGAGGUGAAAUCCCGGGGCUCAACUUCGGAACUGCCUCUGAUACUGUUCGGCUUGAGAGUAGUUGCGGUAGGCGGAAUGUAUGGUGUAGCGGUGAAAUGCUUAGAGAUCAUACAGAACACCGAUUGCGAAGGCAGCUUACCAGGCUACUUCUGACGUUGAGGCACGAAAGCGUGGGGAGCAAACAGGAUUAGAUACCCUAGUAGUC